rnacentral:rRNA from 3 species
UACGUAGGGUGCAAGCGUUAAUCGGAAUUACUGGGCGUAAAGCGUGCGCAGGCGGUUUUGUAAGACAGAGGUGAAAUCCCCGGGCUCAACCUGGGAACUGCCUUUGUGACUGCAAGGCUGGAGUGCGGCAGAGGGGGAUGGAAUUCCGCGUGUAGCAGUGAAAUGCGUAGAUAUGCGGAGGAACACCGAUGGCGAAGGCAAUCCCCUGGGCCUGCACUGACGCUCAUGCACGAAAGCGUGGGGAGCAAACAGG